GUGGAUUAGAUACCCUGGUAGUCCACGCUGUAAACGAUGUCGACUUGGAGGUUGUUCCCUUGAGGAGUGGCUUCCGGAGCUAACGCGUUAAGUCGACCGCCUGGGGAGUACGGCCGCAAGGUUAAAACUCAAAUGAAAUGACGGGGGCCCGCACAAGCGGUGGAGCAUGUGGUUUAAUUCGAUGCAACGCGAAGAACCUUACCUACUCUUGACAUCCACGGAAUUUGGCAGAGAUGCCUUAGUGCCUUCGGGAACCGUGAGACAGGUGCUGCACGGUCGUCGUCAACU
rnacentral:rRNA from 1 species